GACGAACGCUGGCGGCGUGCCUAAUACAUGCAAGUCGAACGCAGUGGGGACGGGUGAGUAACACGUGGGUAACCUCCCAUCAGAGGGGAUAACACUUGGAAACAGGUGCUAAACCGAUACUGAUGGAAGGACCCGCGGUGCAUUAGCUGGUUGGUGAGGUAACGGCGCCCCAGGGGCACGAUGCGUAGCCGCACUGAGAGGGUGAUCGGCCACCCUGGGACUGAGACACGGCCCAUACGCCUACGGGAGGCAGCAGUAGGGAAUCUUCGGCAAUGGACGAAAGUCUUACCGAGCAACGCCGCGUGAGUGAAGAAGGUUUUCGGAUCGUAAAACUCUGUUGUUAGAGAAGCGGUAUCUAACCAGAAAGCCACGGCUAACUACGUGCCAGCAGCCGCGGUAAUAC
rnacentral:rRNA from 1 species